rnacentral:lncRNA from 1 species
UCCUGACCUACCCAUGCACUUCCAGAACUCCACCAGGAUCUCGUCAGGCCCGGUCGCUCGACCCCUACUCAUCCUACGCAAAGCCCCCAUGAACUCAUCCGCCCUUAUGCACCUGCAGUACCCAAGAUCUCUAUGUUGCUCUGAAUGCCCCAACUCCCCUAGCUCUAUGUUACGACCCCCCUCCUCGUUAAGUAAAUCUCGACAGUACGCCUACCACCUCUGCUUGACUUGAG